rnacentral:rRNA from 1 species
GACAGAGGUGCCGAGCGUUAGGCGGAAUCACUGGGCUUAAAGCGUGUGUAGGCGGAUUCCUAAGUACCUUGUGAAAUCCCACGGCUUAACCGUGGAACUGCUUGGUAUACUGGGUGUCUUGAGCCAACUAGAGGCAGUCGGAACAAACGGUGGAGCGGUGAAAUGCGUAGAUAUCGUUUGGAACGCCAAUGGUGAAAACAGACUGCUGGGGUUGUGCUGACGCUGAGACAC